UACGUAGGGCGCGAGCGUUGUCCGGAAUUAUUGGGCGUAAAGGGCUUGUAGGCGGUUGGUCGCGUCUGCCGUGAAAUCCUCUGGCUCAGCUGGGGGCGUGCGGUGGGUACGGGCUGGCUUGAGUGCGGUAGGGGAGGCUGGAACUCCUGGUGUAGCGGUGGAAUGCGCAGAUAUGAGGAAGAACACCGAUGGCGAAGGCAGGUCUCUGGGCCGUUACUGACGCUGAGGAGCGAAAGCGUGGGGAGCGAACAGG
rnacentral:rRNA from 1 species